rnacentral:rRNA from 1 species
GGCGCGCCUAACACAUGCAAGUCGAACGGAGUCAAGAGGAGCUUGCUUUUCUUGACUUAGUGGCGAACGGGUGAGUAACGCGUGAGUAACCUGCCCUGGAGUGGGGGACAACAGUUGGAAACGACUGCUAAUACCGCAUAAGCCCACGAUCCGGCAUCGGAUUGAGGGAAAAGGAUUUAUUCGCUUCAGGAUGGACUCGCGUCCAAUUAGCUAGUUGGUGAGGUAACGGCCCACCAAGGCGACGAUUGGUAGCCGGACUGAGAGGUUGAACGGCCACAUUGGGACUGAGACACGGCCCAGACUCCUACGGGAGGCUGCAGUAGGGAAUCUUCGGCAAUGGGGGCAACCCUGACCGAGCAACGCCGCGUGAGUGAAGAAGGUUUUCGGAUCGUAAAGCUCUGUUGUAAGUCAAGAACGAGUGUGAGAGUGGAAAGUUCACACUGUGACGGUAGCUUACCAGAAAGGGACGGCUAACUACGUGCCAGCAGCCGCGGUAAUACGUAGGUCCCGAGCGUUGUCCGGAUUUAUUGGGCGUAAAGCGAGCGCAGGCGGUUUGAUAAGUCUGAAGUUAAAGGCUGUGGCUCAACCAUAGUUCGCUUUGGAAACUGGGAAACUUGAGUGCAGAAGAGGACAGUGGAACUCCAUGUGUAGCGGUGAAAUGCGUAGAUAUAUGGAAGAACACCAGUGGCGAAGGCGGCUGUCUGGUCUGUAACUGACGCUGAGGCUCGAAAGCAUGGGUAGCGAACAGGAUUAGAUACCCUGGUAGUCCACGCCGUAAACGAUGAGUACUAAGUGUUGGAAGUCAAAUUUCAGUGCUGCAGUUAACGCAGUAAGUACUCCGCCUGAGUAGUACGUUCGCAAGAAUGAAACUCAAAGGAAUUGACGGGGGCCCGCACAAGCGGUGGAGCAUGUGGUUUAAUUCGAUGCAACGCGAAGAACCUUACCAGGUCUUGACAUACUCAUAAAUGUUCCAGAGAUGGAAAGAUAGCUAUAUGAGAUACAGGUGGUGCAUGGUUGUCGUCAGCUCGUGUCGGGAGAUGUUGGGUUAAGUCCCGCAACGAGCGCAACCCCUGUUGCCAGUUGCCAGCAUUAAGUUGGGGACUCUGGCGAGACUGCCGGUGACAAGCCGGAGGAAGGCGGGGAUGACGUCAAAUCAUCAUGCCCCUUAUGACCUGGGCUACACACGUGCUACAAUGGACAGAGCAGAGGGAAGCGAAGCCGCGAGGUGGAGCGAAACCCAUAAAACUGUUCUCAGUUCGGACUGCAGUCUGCAACUCGACUGCACGAAGAUGGAAUCGCUAGUAAUCGCGAAUCAGCAUGUCGCGGUAAAUACGUUCUCGGGC